rnacentral:rRNA from 1 species
UAGGGAAUCAUCCACAAUGGACGAAAGUCUGAUGGAGCAACGCCGCGUGAGUGAAGAAGGGUUUCGGCUCGUAAAACUCUGUUGUUAAAGAAGAACAUAUCUGAGAGUAACUGUUCAGGUAUUGACGGUAUUUAACCAGAAAGCCACGGCUAACUACGUGCCAG